UCCCAGUAAGGGCAGGCACCUCUACGCGGUGCUAGGGGUUAGUAUUCUUGCAGAGACCUUCUUUGCAAGAAGAAGCUAAGACCUGC
rnacentral:ribozyme from 1 species